rnacentral:tRNA from 4 species
UUAAAAAUAAGCUAAAUAAAGCUUUUGGAUUCAUACUUCAAAUAUAAAGAUAACUCUUUUUUUUAAA